rnacentral:rRNA from 1 species
AGGAUGACGGUCCUAUGGAUUGUAAACUGCUUUUGUACGGGAAGAAACCCUCCUACGUGUAGGAGCUUGACGGUACCGUAAGAAUAAGGAUCGGCUAACUCCGUGCCAGCAGCCGCGGUAAUACGGAGGAUCCAAGCGUUAUCCGGAAUCAUUGGGUUUAAAGGGUCCGUAGGCGGUUUAGUAAGUCAGUGGUGAAAGCCCAUCGCUCAACGGUGGAACGGCCAUUGAUACUGCUGAACUUGAAUUACUGGGAAGUAACUAGAAUAUGUAGUGUAGCGGUGAAAUGCUUAGAGAUUACAUGGAAUACCAAUUGCGAAGGCAGGUUACUACCAGUGGAUUGACGCUGAUGGACGAAAGCGUGGGUAGCGAACAGGAUUAGAUACCCUGGUAGUCCAAGGGCGAAUUC